GAGGGUAUAGCUCAAGUCGUAGAGUGUAUGCUUAGCAUGCACGAGGUCCUGGGUUCCAUCCCCAGUAUCUGCU
rnacentral:tRNA from 1 species